UACAGUAUUUAUAUGACUGUGUCCCAGCGUGGCCCCAACACAUGGUUGGCUCUUACACAGAGGCAGUCUGGGGUUCAAAUGUGUUCAUUCAGCCAGAAGGGCAUGGUUAAAAGGUCUGGGAUCUGGACUGUGAGCUCCAGAGCAGCUGUGAUCCACUGUAAAAAGGUCUGAUGAGGGUCUAAACUAGUCUGUGUACUGUAUGUUCUGCUCAGGAGCUCCCAGGGGCACAUGGGAAGUUCUGUGUGACGAGUCUUUACAUCAGGACGAGAGGAAACAACCUGGUCAGGUCAGUGUUGGUUCCACCACCUCCACCAGACGUGCUGUCACACUCACAUCCUCAACUACCUCCAUUUGUGCUGCUGCUUUGUCCAGUGUGGGUUAAAGAAGAUCAAGGAGACAGACACAGAGACGUAAAGAGGACUGGUAGGAGCCUGGACUACUUUCCUGCUGCAAAAGAACAGGACCCACAUGAACGGACGGCCUCAAUCACCUGAAACAGAGCUGUGCUCCUCCAACUCCUCCACUGGUUGUUAAACAGGCUGCUCCUCAAGUACAGUUUCUGUGACUGAGGUUGUUGUGAAGUGUGAACACUCAGUAAACUCUAUACAUUCUCGAA